rnacentral:rRNA from 1 species
GACGAACGCUGGCGGCGUGCUUAACACAUGCAAGUCGAACGCUGAAGCCCUUUCGGGGGUGGAUGAGUGGCGAACGGGUGAGUAACACGUGGGUAAUCUGCCCUGCACUCUGGGAUAAGCCUUGGAAACGGGGUCUAAUACCGGAUAGGACACAUCGCCGCAUGGUGUGUGUGUGGAAAGUUCCGGCGGUGCAGGUUGAGCCCGCGGCCUAUCAGCUUGUUGGUGGGGUGAUGGCCUACCAAGGCGACGACGGGUAGCCGGCCUGAGAGGGUGACCGGCCACACUGGGACUGAGACACGGCCCAGACUCCUACGGGAGGCAGCAGUGGGGAAUCUUGCGCAAUGGGCGAAAGCCUGACGCAGCAACGCCGCGUGGGGGAUGACGGCCUUCGGGUUGUAAACCUCUUUCGACCGGGACGAAGGGUGACUGACGGUACCGGUAGAAGAAGCACCGGCUAACUACGUGCCAGCCGCCGCCGUAA